rnacentral:rRNA from 1 species
AGCAGUCGCCGCGGGAAUACGAAGGGGGCUAGCGUUGCUCGGAAUGACUGGGCGUAAAGGGCGCGUAGGCGGAUUGCACAGUCAGAUGUGAAAUUCCUGGGCUUAACCUGGGGGCUGCAUUUGAUACGUGAAGUCUAGAGUGUGAAAGAGGGUCGUGGAAUUCCCAGUGUAGAGGUGAAAUUCGUAGAUAUUGGGAAGAACACCGGUGGCGAAGGCGGCGACCUGGUUCAUUACUGACGCUGAGGCGCGAAAGCGUGGGGAGCAAACAGGAUUAGAUACCCCCGUAGUCCCUGUCUCUUAUAC